rnacentral:rRNA from 1 species
UACGAAGGGGGCUAGCGUUGUUCGGAAUUACUGGGCGUAAAGCGCAUGUAGGCGGCGAUUCAAGUCGGGGGUGAAAUCCUGAGGCUCAACCUCAGAACUGCCUUCGAUACUGUAUUGCUAGAGUAUGGAAGAGGUAGGUGGAACUGCGAGUGUAGAGGUGAAAUUCGUAGAUAUUCGCAAGAACACCAGUGGCGAAGGCGGCCUACUGGUCCAUCACUGACGCUGAGAUGCGAAAGCGUGGGGAGCAAACAGG